rnacentral:piRNA from 1 species
UUUCAAAUUGUGAGUUGAAGA